AUACUUGUUAUAAUUGUUCUUCUUUUGCCGAAACUAAACAAAAUAAAAAGAAAGAACACAAAGCUAGGGUUCGGCCAAUUUGGAGCUUAAUUAAGAUCAAGAAUCAAAGAAAUCAGAUUUGGUAUUGGGGAAAACGAAAGUUGCCGACUAACAGCCCCAUCCUGUUUUACGACGUCCGAGGUGGUUAAAAGAGAACUGAGAAGGACCAAGAGCCUUCGUGAAAAUGUCAACAAGAUGGUGAUUAGAGGAAACAUGUGAAGUAGUGAUGGAGCCGGUUUUGAUGCAAUCCCUAAUGAAAUGACAGUCUACUUCAAUGUGUUUUAUGCGCUCGUGAUGGAAAGGA